rnacentral:miRNA from 1 species
AGCAACGAUUUUAAGAUUGUGGCA